rnacentral:rRNA from 1 species
UACGGAGGGUGCGAGCGUUAAUCGGAAUUACUGGGCGUAAAGGGUGCGUAGGUGGUUUGAUAAGUUAUCUGUGAAAUUCCCGGGCUCAACCUGGGCAGGUCAGAUAAGACUGUUGAACUCGAGUAUGGGAGAGGGUAGUGGAAUUUCCGGUGUAGCGGUGAAAUGCGUAGAGAUCGGAAGGAACACCAGUGGCGAAGGCGACUCUCUGGACCAGCACUGACACUGAGGCACGAAAGCGUGGGGAGCAAACAGG